rnacentral:rRNA from 1 species
GUAGGGUGCGAGCGUUGUCCGGAAUUAUUGGGCGUAAAGAGCUUGUAGGCGGUUUGUCGCGUCUGCAGUGAAAAUCCGAGGCUCAACCUCGGACUUGCUGUGGGUACGGGCAGACUAGAGUAUGGUAGGGGAGACCGGAAUUCCUGGUGUAGCGGUGGAAUGCGCAGAUAUCAGGAGGAACACCGAUGGCGAAGGCAGGUCUCUGGGCCAUAACUGACGCUGAGAAGCGGAAGCAUGGGGAGCGAACAGGAUUAGAUACCCUGGUAGUCCAUGCCGUAGACGUUGGGCGCUAGGUGUGGGGCUCAUUCCACGAGCUCCGUGCCGCAGCUAACGCAUUAAGCGCCCCGCCUGGGGAGUACGGCCGCAAGGCUA